GAAAUGUGGAACGCUGGGAUAUUACUAAAAGCAGACAUCUUGGUUGUGUGUGCUUGCCUAGUGUUAGCAAAUAUCUUCAAAAUGCCUUUUUGGCGUGAUGUAGGACUGAACUAUGUUCAGUAUUCCCAAGUCUGUGCCAGAGUAAUUAGGGCCUGCCUUAAACCAGAACUCAGAGUUGAGGCAAUAAAAAGAGAUGAGAAAUCUAUACGUCAUAUCAAAUGGAAGGACGGAAAGGCUGUUACUAAUGGAGAGUAAUUUGCAGUACACACCCAGACAUUGGAUAGGUACCUGAGAAUGAAUAGUGAAAUAUAUUUUAACCAAAAGACUGCCAAACUGGAAGAUUCUUUGUGAUUGGACACUUUGUACAUUGAGGGCACAAAUACCAGGUCAAAUUUGGAGAAUGGUCUAAGAUUCUGUACACUACAGAUAGAAGAAAAGGCAGAGAGAAAGUGGCACAAGCUGCAAGGGACCCAUUGGAUGCCUUGUUACAAGAGAAAAAAAUAAUACAAGACACUGGAGACAUAUUUUGCUUAGCUUUUUGGGUAAUUUUAGGAAAUAUUUGAAUUCUCUUAAAAAAUAUCAGGAUACUGUAUAAACAGUUUUAUACUAGGACAAGUUGUAACAUUGUAAAUGUGAGAUGCAUCUUGGUGUGAUUACUACAAUGGCUAUGACGGAUCAUUCUACAAAUAUGAUGAGGAACUUAGUAUUGUGGAGAUGUCUGACUAGAGAACAGUGCACACGUGUUGAUAUGUAGAUUAUUUGCUAUUUACACUCAAGAGAAGUGAGACAAUAAAACUGUUGAAUUGAUAAA